UACAGGGGGUGCAAACGUUGCUCGGAAUUAUUGGGCGUAAAGCGCACGUAGGCGGUUUGUUAUGUCGGAUGUGAAAGCCCUUGGCUCAACUGAGGAAGUGCAUCCGAAACUGGCAAGCUAGAGUAUGUAAGAGGGUCGCGGAAUUCCCGGUGUAGAGGUGAAAUUCGUAGAUAUCGGGAGGAACACCGGUGGCGAAGGCGGCGACCUGGGUAGAUACUGACGCUGAGGCGCAAAAGCGUGGGGAGCAAACAGG
rnacentral:rRNA from 1 species